rnacentral:snoRNA from 1 species
UGUAUGUAUUUAAACCCCAUCCUUGGGUCCUCGUGUCCCCCAGGGACUAUAUAUGACAUUGUGGCUGCCCUCAAGCUGGGCUGGUUGGGCUGAUCUGAUAAACCUAUUUGUGGGGCAGAAACA